rnacentral:rRNA from 1 species
UACGGGGGGGCAAGCGUUGUUCGGAAUUACUGGGCGUAAAGGGCUCGUAGGUGGCCAACUAAGUCAGACGUGAAAUCCCUCGGCUUAACCGGGGAACUGCGUCUGAUACUGGAUGGCUUGAGUUUGGGAGAGGGACGCGGAAUUCCAGGUGUAGCGGUGAAAUGCGUAGAUAUCUGGAGGAACACCGGUGGCGAAGGCGGCGUCCUGGACCAACACUGACGCUGAGGAGCGAAAGCCAGGGGAGCAAAGCGGG